GACGAACGCUGGCGGCGUGCUUAACACAUGCAAGUCGAACGAAGUGGCGAACGGGUGAGUAACGCGUAAUCAACCUGCCCUUCAGAGGGGGACAACAGUUGGAAACGACUGCUAAUACCGCAUACUGAAGGAGGGGAUUGCGUCUGAUUAGCUAGUUGGAGGGGUAACGGCCCACCAAGGCGAUGAUCAGUAGCCGGUCUGAGGGGAGUAACGGCCAAAUUGGGAAUGAGAACAGGCCCAGAAUCCUACGGGAGGGAGCAGGGGGGAAUCUUCCGAAAUGGAGGAAAGUCUGGCGGAGCAACGCCGCGGGAGUGAUGACGGCCUUCGGGUUGGAAAGCUCUGUUAAUCGGGACGCGGUACCGGAAUAGAAAGCCACGGCUAACUACGUGCCAGCAGCCGCGGUAAUAC
rnacentral:rRNA from 1 species